rnacentral:rRNA from 1 species
CCCUAUGGGGCGCGCACAAGCAUGAGUGGCAUGAAGAACUACGGUACAUUCACUGCAAGUUCGGCAGUAAGGUCCACAGCUACACUUGAAUCAGUUGAAAUAUUCAGGGAUCUUAUGGCGAAAUACAGGGCCGGUGUAUCCCAGGAGGAUGUGGAUUUCACCAGGGAUGCAUUGCUCAAGGGCAACGCACUGCAGUUGGAGACGCAGCGCGCACUGCUCGGGAUGCUGAACACUAUGAGUACCUACGGGUUGCAGGAUGACUAUAUUGCCCAGGAAGAGAAUUACGUGAAGAACCUGACGGUUGAGGAGGUCAAGGCCAUGGUUAACAAAUAUAUUGAUCCGAUGAAGAUGUACUACGUAGUGGCCGGAGAUGCUGCAACACAGCUUAAGGAAUUGGCGGGGGGGC